UGUGAGGUAGCUCAGCGGUAGAGCAAGCGUCUGUUAAGCGCAAGGUCGUGGGUUCGAUCCCCACCCUCACAG
rnacentral:tRNA from 1 species